rnacentral:misc_RNA from 1 species
GCAGCUGCCAAAAGAUUCAAAUAAUCAUACGAAUAGGUAAGUUGAUGCUUCUAUUGUUAAGAGUAUCUUGUCCAAUUUGUUCCAAGUAAAUAACAUGCUGACUAAUAAAUAGGCAUGUUUGAAGAACAUAGCAGGCAACUUGAGGCAAUCCCAAAUUAUAUAAUAUUCAGGAGAACUAGCUAUAUCAAUUCUUAGGGUUGUCCUUGGCUUUCUUCAUAUUAUGAAAUAGCUCACCAAGUUGCAAUUCACAGGCAGCUUGUGUCUCGGGGGCCAAUUCUUUAAGGAAUGAUUUCGUAAUGUCAUGGAUUGACACAAUCUGGAAGAUCUUACCACAAAACUUGCGCACCUCAGCCCGCCUUGACUUGUUUUCUGGCAUAUUCAUCACCAAUUCCUUUACCAGGUGACUGAGCUUUUGCAGAUGGUUUUUCAACAUCUUUUUUGAUGCAUUGCGGCUGCUUUCGUCAGUGCCAGAAGAAACCAUCGACUUCAAAAUUUCCAUCACUAAAUCAAGCGCAUCAACUCGGCGAAAUUCAGACUUUGCACUGCCACAUUUCUCCAAAAGGAAGCCAAAUAGAUGGUGCCCAAUCCAUGGCCUUCUUCUGAAUAUUUCUUUCAAAAAUUCAGAUUUUAUUUGAGACUUUUUACUGUCAAAAUAUCCCACCAACACCCCUUUAAAAAUAUCAAAAACUCUCUGCAGUUCAGAAUCAGAAAAUUUUCUGGCAUCAAUGAUUUUCAGAAUCCAAUAGGUUGAAUUCUGGGCAAGGGAAAUAAUCAUUUUGUGGCGCUUCCAUGAGGCUGACUGCUUCUUCUUUGAUGGAACUGCAGAUUUCUUCCUCUUGAAUGGUUUUGAUGCCAACUUUAAGUUCUUUUCCAAUAAAGAUUCAAGUGUAGACAGUUGCACGGCUUCACCCUUUGGGAAGUCCUUUGCUUUAAAUAUUUUCUUUUGCAGGAUUCCCCAUAUACGCUGUCCAAGCUGCUCACUGAUUUCUGUAGUAUGUGGUUUAACAAGUGCAGAUGCCAAGUUUGAGUACAAUGUCAGAACUUGAGGCUUGCCUGGAUUUUCAUGUAGGUAAAUCUCCAGCAAUGAAAGGACUCGAAGUUUGAACAAAACAAGCUGGGAUUGAGCAGUUUCACCCCCAGCCUGAUUCUUCCUCUCUUUGAAAAUUUGGGCAAGGUAGGUGUCCAUUCGGAACAUUGCAUCAUCAUCCAUUCCUCCAUCAGAAUCAUCAGAAUCUAUAGGUGAUUCCUUGACAGCUUCGUCAGCUUCUACUACUGCCUCAGAAUCAUCUGUCUGCUCUUCAAUCUCAACUGUUUCACCUAUCUCAGCUUCAUCAAUUUCAUCUUCUUCAAUACCAAGAAAAUCUUCAUCAUCAUCAUCAUCUUCGCUAUCCGGUUCCUGAUGUCUGGCUGAUUUCAAAUCCUUCUUGAUGACACGCAACAUCUGAAGAAGUCCAUCAUUUGUCACUUCAUCACAGAAAUACUUGAAAACCUGUUCAAUGGCAUAGGAGCUGAAGACUGUGGCAACAAUGAAAGCAAUGUAUCCACAAGAACAUCCAUUAACUCAGGACUCCCAUCACUAUCCAAUUCAUCUUCUCCUGAGGUGUCAAGCAGAUCAGAAGCUGCAAAAGCUUUCUUAUAGCAGAUGACAAGUUCAGACACAGCUUCAGAGAAUUCUCCUGGUCUAAGGAGCACUUGGAGCAGCAACUGGAUCAGUAAAUACUUCAAUGCGUGUAAUUUAUUAACAUCUGUACUAUGCCCACAAUUCCUUUCCUCUCUGGACAAUCUAGUUUCCAUUUCUUGCAAUCUUUCCAAUGCCUUUUCAUCCUCAUUACUCAAAGGUCGAAACAAAGAAAUGGAAGGAAUAUUGCGUAAUGUGCUAAGGAAUCGCAUGAAGUAAGACCCAAGAUCAUUGGGCUCAAGGACAUUUGCCAAAGAAUGUGGCCCCUCCAUCUUUUGAGCACUUGCCAGCAAAAGUUGGACCUGCUCAAUACACAUCUUGCAAGUGGCGCUUGAGGCGGCUACUUUUGGCCACCUAAAUUUCUCCUGUAAUUCAAAAGAUGUAACUUCAGAUCCAAGAGAUGCAGAGAACAGACCUUGAACAGUUAGAAACUUCAAAAUUUCCUUUUGCACCCGAAAUUUUGCUUCAGAAUCCAGCUUCAAACAUUUCAAAAUACUUGGGAGGGACUCCACAACCCAGAUUUUCAAAAAAUCAGAAUUUCCCAUUGCACUACCUGAAUCCUUAUCCUCUAUUGAACCUAUCUCUGAGUUGUCAUCAGUUGUCUGGCUCUGAUCUGAAGGUUCCUCUGAAGUGUGACCUUCAUCCACAAACAUGUUCAUUAAAUUCUGAAUAAACAGCAUACAACCUGCUUCUGUCAUGAACUCUGUCAUUAAAGUUUUAACUGUUUUUGUUCUUGUGACGUUAUCAAAUUUUCCAUUGCUAUGCUUUUGUAAAGCCACUAUGACAGCAACCCUUCUGACAUCAUCAUUUCCAACCCAAUCUGACA